rnacentral:rRNA from 1 species
UGGGGAAUUUUGGACAAUGGGCGAAAGCCUGAUCCAGCAAUGCCGCGUGUGUGAAGAAGGCCUUCGGGUUGUAAAGCACUUUUGCCCGGAAAGAAAUCCUUGGCUCUAAUACAGUCGGGGGAUGACGGUACCGGAAGAAUAAGCACCGGCUAACUACGUGCCAGCAGCCGCGGUAAUACGUAGGGUGCAAGCGUUAAUCGGAAUUACUGGGCGUAAAGCGUGCGCAGGCGGUUUGCUAAGACCGAUGUGAAAUCCCCGGGCUCAACCUGGGAACUGCAUUGGUGACUGGCAGGCUAGAGUAUGGCAGAGGGGGGUAGAAUUCCACGUGUAGCAGUGAAAUGCGUAGAGAUGCGGAGGAAUACCGAUGGCGAAGGCAGCCCCCUGGGCCAAUACUGACGCUCAUGCACGAAAGCGUGGGGAGCAAAACAGGAUUAGAUACCCUGGUAGUCCACGCCCUAAACGAUGUCAACUAGUUGUUGGGGAUUCAUUUCCUUAGUAACGUAGCUAACGCGUGAAGUUGACCGCCUGGGGAGUACGGUCGCAAGAUUAAAACUUAAAGGAAUUG